rnacentral:rRNA from 1 species
AGUGAACGCUGGCGGUAGGCCUAACACAUGCAAGUCGAACGGCAGCACAGUAAGAGCUUGCUCUUACGGGUGGCGAGUGGCGGACGGGUGAGGAAUACAUCGGAAUCUACUUUUUCGUGGGGGAUAACGUAGGGAAACUUACGCUAAUACCGCAUACGACCUACGGGUGAAAGCAGGGGAUCUUCGGACCUUGCGCGAUUGAAUGAGCCGAUGUCGGAUUAGCUAGUUGGCGGGGUAAAGGCCCACCAAGGCGACGAUCCGUAGCUGGUCUGAGAGGAUGAUCAGCCACACUGGAACUGAGACACGGACCAGACUCCUACGGGAGGCAGCAGUGGGGAAUAUUGGACAAUGGGCGCAAGCCUGAUCCAGCCAUACCACGUGGGUGAAGAAGGCCUUCGGGUUGUAAAGCCCUUUUGUUGGGAAAGAAAAGCAGCAGGUUAAUACCCCGCGGUUCUGACGGUACCGAAAGAAUAAGCACCGGCUAACUUCGUG